AUUCUGACUAGAUUCUGCUUCUAUAAUGUCAAGACAACAACAUAUAACGUUGUAUGGUUCUGUCUUAAUCAGACCCUAUUGGCUUCUACACCAUUCCGCCCAUACCAAUACAGACUGGAGAUCUACCUGGGUAAAUCAGACCCUAUAGGCGUGGCUUCUUCAACAUUCUGCCCAUAACAACACAGACCAUAGAUUUACCUCCAGAGUAGGCCUACGUGUCAGUUUACAUCGGAUCUCUGAAUAAACCAGUUUUGUGUUAAAUCAACCUUUACCACUCUUGGAGUCAUACGUCGCUCGCCCCCAAACCACGAUGCCAAAUGCCUCUAAAUGACAAUUCAUCAGUAGGCCUGCAUUCAUUCUUAUUAUGCUGGAGUAAAGCCCUUCCAGUAGGCCUACUUUUGAAUGACAUUGAGUGACCGCUUUAACGCAGGUGGAUGUACACAAGGACGUGGAACCAUCACUCAAGAACAUGAACGUUCACGGCUCCCAUAGAUGACUCCCAUUACAGUCACAAUUCAAUGAUCCAAUUGUGACGCUGGCACAUUCCGUGUUUCUCGCUCACACACACACGUUCGUGCACUACACACUCACCUUCACCUAGACACGCACCGCAACACCCACACGCCUGCAUUAGCUUUGUUAUCGCCCUCACACACAUGGAAGCACGCUCGAAUGGGCAAAGCCCGGCAUGAUACAGCAGUGGUGGGCUGCAGUCGAUUUUAUUUUAGACAGUGCCAUGGAGAAGCAGCAGCAGUGACCCAAGUGUUGUAAAGCAGCCGCAGCGCCAUGUCAACAAACGGGUCCCACCCAACAGGUCCUUUGGAAAGCUGUCGUCGCUGAGCGCCAACAAAUUGUGCACUAAAUCGUAAGUUAAUUGCCUCCAGUCAGGCGAGCACACAGCCAUGCGCACACGUGUAAACAGAAUGCAGGCGCACGCGUUCACCCACCAAUCACUCUGACACAUGGUCCGACGCGCGCGCGCGCGCACACGCACACACACUUAUUGAAAAAAAAGACUGCAUUACCCUUGCUCAACAUUACGGGGCAAUUAAAAGCGUCUACUCUCACGAUUCAUUGCAGGUGUCAAGUACACAGGGAGCUAUUGUUGAAGAUGCAGCCAGCGAUCAGAUCUUAUAAGCCUACAGCUACUCUUCCAGCAAAUCCCUUCCACUGAGCAUACCUACUUUACAUUCACAUUGGGAGUCUAACGCAAUCACAGGUGAGAAUACAGCGCGCCGCGUCAGCCUUUCCACCUCCAUUUUCACACACUU
rnacentral:lncRNA from 1 species